GUUGGCCACCUCCUUCCAGAUGGCCCCUCCCUCCUGUCAGCGUCGUCCCCACCUCCUGGCGCAUGCUCUAUGUUCCGACAGCAAGCCUGGCCUCCGAUUCAGACGCAUGCGCACACCGGGGGGAACGAAAAACUUCUCGCGAGACCAUGAAAUCCAGGCGCUGGCGAGCGCUGGUUUCCUGAGCAAGGUGGGAAGUCUGUGCUCUUUCCCGUUUGCUCUUGUUCUAAGCUUCUAAAGUCACCGUUGUCUCCAGAGCGCCAGGUGGCUCAGUUCUCCGCUUCUUAAUCUUUCCGUGGGUUAAGUUUUACGGAACUGGCUGUUUUUUUUGGUCUGUGCUGAUACACGCUCCGCGUCUCCGUCCUCGCUGAAAUUGCUGCUCCUGAGCGCAGGAUCCAGGUGAAGCUUUUACCUUGUGGACCGUUGGGGGCGGUACGUUGCAGCAGUUGCUCAGGGAAGAUGGUGUCACAGGUCUGGUAACUAACGUGCCACAGCAGAGACCCACAGGAGCUUCAUGAAAUCACUGCGUACUUUUUUAGGGGGGAGAACGGAUAUAAUAAGAGCAAAAGUUGCUAUUAUGGUUAGUCUUGGAAUGGACAAGUUUAUAGGAAAUUUAACUUGAAAGAACCAGAGCUGUUUCCAAGGCUGCCCUUAUCGCACCCUCUUAUUUUCUCGCUGCAUCUCACUAACCAGCAGAACCAUUCAAUAGCAAGGCUUCAGUGCCGAAUCACGUGGGGACUUUUGCCAAAUUAGACCAUUUAGAAUCUCUCACUCUCCAUCCGUAUUACUUUGCUAGGGCUGUAAUAACAAUACCACAGACUGGGUGGCUUAAACAACAGGAAUUUAUUUUCUCACGAUUCUGGAGGCUGGAACUCUGAGAUGAGGUGUCCACAGCUUGGUUUCUCUUGAGUCCUACCCCCUUGGCCUGUAGGUGGCCUUCUCCGUGUGUCUUCACAUCCGCUUCCCUCUGUACCUGUCUGUAUCCUAACCUCUUACAAGGAGACCAGUCAUAUUGGAUUAGGGCCUGUCCUAAAGACCUCAUUUACCUUUAAUUACCUUUUUGAAGACACUCUCUCCAGAUAGAGUCAUAUUCUGAGAUACUGGGGAUUAGGACUUCGACGUGAAUUUGGGCACAAUCCAGCCCAUACACCAUCCACUUAUGCUAAGUUAUAAAGUUUUACUGAAGAUUUUUAAAUGAAUGCUUCCAUUAGGUUAAGGGGCUAAAACAUCAAUGAAUGAGAGAGUGUGUGUAUGUAUAUGCCUGCAUUUUUUGUAAUGCUCUCUUCUCCAUCUUGAAUUUUAAUAUCUUCCCAACUAUUUAUAUUUGUCAAAAUUGUACUCAGCUUUGAAUGCUUUACUUAAAUAUUACUUGUUCUAUGAAACUUUUUCGUUACUCCAGCUGAAUUUGAUUUUUCCCUUUUUGGUACGCUAUAGUACUUAACUUGCAUUUUUCUUGUGGAAUCUUUAUUAUCUUAUAAACUUGUAGUGAAGGAUUGUGUCUCUUAUUUGAGGUGCCUAGCAUAGUGACUUGCGUUAAAUGAGCACUCAAUUGCAUUAUUGGAUGCUUUGAGGUAUGCAAUAUAUAUUUCUGGAAUUGAGAAAGUUUUAUAUUUUAAAAAGCCAUUUCUCUCUAGGAGGUGGAGUUAAUCCCCCUUCCCUACCCCAGUACUAACUCGAGUGUGGGCUGUGCUUAGUGACUUGCUUUCAAAGGGUAGGAUAAGGCAAGAGGGGGAAAGCAUAAUAUAAUAGUGGAUCAAUCCAGCAAACGCUACCUAGGCCAGAUGAUCAAUGUUAACAUCAGUGAUAAAUCAUUUUGAUAGUGUUGUACCCUGAUAAGAUGUGAUGAGAAGAACGCUUCUCCUCCCUCUAUGUUAUUUUUCCCUAAAGCCCUAAGUCUAAACAUGAGAAGAAUAUCAGAGGAAAUCAAAUUGAUGGACAUCCUACACAUUUCUUAACUGGUACUCAAAACUGUCAUGGUCAUGAAAAGAAAAGUCUGUGAAAUUGUCACACCAGAAGAGACGAGACAUGAUGACUAAAUGUAAUGUGGCAUCCUGGCUGGGAUGCUUAAGCAGAAAAAGGAUAUUAAUGGAAAACUAGUGAAAUCUGAAUGAAGUGUGGAAUUUAGUUAAUAGUAAUGUGCCAAUGUUGGUUUCUUGGUUGUGACAGAUGUACAUGGUAUUGUAAGAUAUUAACAAGAGGGGAAAUUGGAUGAGGUGUGUGUGGGAACUCCCUAUACCAUAUUAACAACUUUUCUGUAAAUCAAACUAUUAAAAUAAAGCUUAAAAAAAGCAAUUAUAA